CCAAUCUUUUCAUUUUCUAGAUUUGAUUUUCUACAAAAUUUCUAAGUUUUUCUUUGAAUAUUGUUUCUAUAAAUAUGUAAACACUUCUCAUAAGUUAUCAAUCAAUUUUUCCUUCUUAUUUUGAAUUUAUCUAUUUUUUGUUUAAGAACACUUUCAUUGUUUCUUGGUGCAUAAUAUCCAAGUAAACAAUCUCUUUUUUGCUGGACUUGUGCGUCAU
rnacentral:lncRNA from 1 species